GAUGAAGAACGUAGCGAAAUGCGAUACGUAAUGUGAAUUGCAGAAUUCAGUGAAUCAUCGAGUCUUUGAACGCACAUUGCGCCCCCUGGUAUUCCGGGGGGCAUGCCUGUCCGAGCGUCAUUGCUGCCCUCAAGCACGGCUUGUGUGUUGGGCCUCCGUCCUCCUCCCGGGGGACGGGCCCGAAAGGCAGCGGCGGCACCGCGUCCGGUCCUCGAGCGUAUGGGGCUUCGUCACCCGCUCUUGUAGGCCCGGCCGGCGCUUGCCGACACAUCAAUCUUUUUUCCAGGUUGACCUCGGAUUAGGUAGGGAUACCCGCUGAACUUAAGCAUAUCAAUAAGCGGAGGA
rnacentral:misc_RNA from 1 species